UGGGGAAUAUUGGACAAUGGGCGCAAGCCUGAUCCAGCCAUGCCGCGUGAGUGACGAAGGCCUUAGGGUUGUAAAGCUCUUUUGGCGGGGACGAUAAUGACGGUACCCGCAGAAUAAGCCCCGGCUAACUUCGUGCCAGCAGCCGCGGUAAUACGAAGGGGGCUAGCGUUGUUCGGAAUCACUGGGCGUAAAGCGCACGUAGGCGGAUUUGUAAGUUAGGGGUGAAAUCCCGGGGCUCAACCUCGGAACUGCCUUUGAUACUGCAAGUCUAGAGUCCGAGAGAGGUGAGUGGAAUUCCUAGUGUAGAGGUGAAAUUCGUAGAUAUUAGGAAGAACACCAGUGGCGAAGGCGGCUCACUGGCUCGGUACUGACGCUGAGGUGCGAAAGCGUGGGGAGCAAACAGGAUUAGAUACCCCCGUAGUCC
rnacentral:rRNA from 1 species